AAUAGAUACCCUGGUAGUCCUUGCCGUAAACGAUGUAUACUUGAUGUAGUUGGACUCAACCCCGACUGUGUCGUAGCUAACGCGAUAAGUAUACCGCCUGAGGAGUACGCUCGCAAGGGUGAAACUCAAAAGAAUUGACGGGGGCCCGCACAAGCAGUGGAGCAUGUGGUUUAAUUCGAUGCAACGCGCAGAACCUUACCCAGGCUAGAAGUGCAGUGGACCGCUCCUGAAAGGGAGCUUCUCGCAAGAGCUACUGUAUAGGUGCUGCAUGGCUGUCGUCAGCUCGUGCCGUGAGGUGUUGGGUUAAGUCCCGCAACGAGCGCAACCCUUAUCACUAGUUGCCAGCAAUUCGGUUGGAACUCUAGUGAGACUGCCUAGGUUAACUAGGAGGAAGGUGAGGAUGAUGUCAAGUCCGCAUGGCCUUAUGUCUGGGGCUACACACGUGCUACAAUGGUCGGUACAGAAGGCAGCAAGCCGUAAGGUGAGCAAAUCCGUAAAGCCGAUCCC
rnacentral:rRNA from 1 species